rnacentral:rRNA from 1 species
UGGGGAAUAUUGCACAAUGGGGGAAACCCUGAUGCAGCGACGCCGCGUGAAGGAAGAAGUAUCUCGGUAUGUAAACUUCUAUCAGCAGGGAAGAUAGUGACGGUACCUGACUAAGAAGCCCCGGCUAUCUACGUGCCAGCAGCCGCGGUAAUACGUAGGGGGCAAGCGUUAUCCGGAUUUACUGGGUGUAAAGGGAGCGUAGACGGUGUGGAAAGUCUGAUGUGAAAGGCAUGGGCUCAACCUGUGGACUGCAUUGGAAACUGUCAUACUUGAGUGCCGGAGGGGUAAGCGGAAUUCCUAGUGUAGCGGUGAAAUGCGUAGAUAUUAGGAGGAAAAACAGUGGCGAAGGCGGCUUACUGGACGGUAACUGACGUUGAGGCUCGAAAGCGUGGGGAGCAAACAGG